rnacentral:lncRNA from 1 species
UCUUUGAAUUCUUUCUUUUAAUAAUUAAAUAUUUUUAUGUACAUUUUAAUUUUAACAGAAGAUUUGAAUCUAUUUAAUUGUUUAGAAAUAUACCAACAAAUUUUUAAAAGUACCAUAGAAAAUAUAUUUUCGGACAAUUUGCAAUUAUUUGAGUUAUCUAGAGAUAUAUUAAAUUUUUUUUGGUUUUCACAAAAUGAUGAAUUAAAAAAAAAAUCAUUUGAAAUCUCACUUAACCAUUUAACAGCUUUAUACUCAUCAAAUAAACACAUAAUGAGUGUUAAAACAAAACAAUAUAUUGAUAAAAUGAAAAGGGGUUAAGAACAUAUUAUUUUAAUUUUUAGUUUUAGUUCAUUAAUUAUUAUCAGUGAUAAUAUAUAUAUAUAUAUAUAUAUAUAUAUGUAAAUAAAUAAUUACAAUUUAAACA